rfam:Stegodyphus mimosarum contig102137, whole genome shotgun sequence.
GGCUUCGUGGUGUAGUGGUCAGCACGCUCGACGCAUACUCGAGAGGUCCGUGGUUCGAGUCCCGGUGGCGUAA